GCAGUGGGGAAUUUUGGACAAUGGGCGAAAGCCUGAUCCAGCAAUGCCGCGUGUGUGAAGAAGGCCUUCGGGUUGUAAAGCACUUUUGUCCGGAAAGAAAUCCUUGGCUCUAAUACAGUCGGGGGAUGACGGUACCGGAAGAAUAAGCACCGGCUAACUACGUGCCAGCAGCCGCGGUAAUACGUAGGGUGCGAGCGUUAAUCGGAAUUACUGGGCGUAAAGCGUGCGCAGGCGGUUUGCUAAGACCGAUGUGAAAUCCCCGGGCUCAACCUGGGAACUGCAUUGGUGACUGGCAGGCUAGAGUAUGGCAGAGGGGGGUAGAAUUCCACGUGUAGCAGUGAAAUGCGUAGAGAUGUGGAGGAAUACCGAUGGCGAAGGCAGCCCCCUGGGCCAAUACUGACGCUCAUGCACGAAAGCGUGGGGAGCAAACAGGAUUAGAUACCCUGGUAGUCCACGCCUUAAACGAUGUCAACUAGUUGUUGGGGAUUCAUUUCCUUAGUAACGUAGCUAACGCGUGAAGUUGACCGCCUGGGGAGUACGGUCGCAAGAUUAAAACUCAAAGGAAUUGACGGGGACCCGCACAAGCGGUGGAUGAUGUGGAUUAAUUCGAUGCAACGCGAAAAACCUUACCUACCCUUGACAUGGUCGGAAUCCCGCUGAGAGGUGGGAGUGCUCGAAAGAGAACCGGCGCACAGGUGCUGCAUGGCUGUCGUCAGCUCGUGUCGUGAGAUGUUGGGUUAAGUCCCGCAACGAGCGCAACCCUUGUCCUUAGUUGCUACGCAAGAGCACUCUAAGGAGACUGCCGGUGACAAACCGGAGGAAGGUGGGGAUGACGUCAAGUCCUCAAGGCCCUUAUGGGUAGGGCUUCACACGUCAUACAAUGGUCGGAACAGAGGGUUGCCAACCCGCGAGGGGGAGCUAAUCCCAGAAAACCGAUCGUAGUCCGGAUUGCACUCUGCAACUCGAGUGCAUGAAGCGGGAAUCGCUAGUAAUCGCGGAUCAGCAUGC
rnacentral:rRNA from 1 species